rnacentral:rRNA from 1 species
UUUAGAGGAACCUGCCCUAUAAACGAUGAACCACGAAGAACUCUACUUUUAUUUGUAAUCAGUCUGUAUACCGCUGUUGUCAGUCAGUUUUUUUAGAAAACUCUCCUUCAUGAAAUAGUCAUUUACUUCAAGUAAAGGUGCAGCUUAUAUAAAAGAUAGAGGUGGGUUACAAUUAUAAGAUUAAUACGGAUUUAGUUUCUGAAAUAACUUUUGAAGGUGGAUUUAAUUGUAAAGUUUAAUUAAACUUGAUGAGAGC